rnacentral:rRNA from 1 species
AAUGAACGUUGGCGGCGUGGAUUAGGCAUGCAAGUCGAGCGAGAACCCCGCAAGGGGGACAGCGGCAAACGGGGUAGUAAUGUGUCGGAACGUGCCCAGAGGACGGGGAUAGCGGCGGGAAACUGCCGGUAAUACCCGAUGAUCUCGAGAGAGCAAAGGUGUGAUUCCGCCUUUGGAGCGGCCGACAUGGUAUUAGCUAGUUGGCGGGGUAACGGCCCACCAAGGCUGUGAUGCCUAGGGGAUGUGAGAGCAUGAUCCCCACCAUUGGGACUGAGACACUGCCCAGACACCUACGGGUGGCUGCAGUCGAGAAUCUUCGUCAAUGGGCGAAAGCCUGAACGAGCGACGCCGCGUGCGGGAUGAAGGCCCUUGGUUGUAACCGCUGUCGAGGGGAUGAAGGCUUGAAGGUACUCCUUCAAGUUUGACAGAGCCCUGGGGAA